UCCAGGGUAGCCUAGUGGACAUGGCAUCUGCUCGGUAAGCGGAACACUGUGGGUUCGUUUCCCAUCCCUGGAC
rnacentral:tRNA from 1 species